AGUUCAUGAUGUGGACACUUUCUUAACAAAUCUUUAUAUCUCUCUCAUGCUUCAUACAAAGAUUUAUUCUCAAAUUGAGUAAAUGUGGUAAUUUCAUUCCUUAGCUU
rfam:Populus trichocarpa scaffold_161_contig_2, whole genome shotgun sequence.